rnacentral:rRNA from 1 species
UACGUAGGUGGCAAGCGUUGUCCGGAAUUAUUGGGCGUAAAGCGCGCACAGGUGGUUUCUUAAGUCUGAUGUGAAAGCCCACGGCUCAACCGUGGAGGGUCAUUGGAAACUGGGGAACUUGAGUGCAGAAGAGGAAAGUGGAAUUCCAAGUGUAGCGGUGAAAUGCGUAGAGAUGUGGAGGAACACCAGUGGCGAAGGCGACUCUUUGGUCUGUAACUGACGCUGAGGCGCGAAAGCGUGGGGAGCAAACAGG